GCCAACGAAAGCCAUUGGAUUAACUUUGCGGAUCCUAGUAAGCAAUCAUGGUAAGGGCAGUGACACAUUGUGUAAGACCCCUUGUAACUUGGCGGGCACAGAAAUAAACAUUGCGGCUAUUUCUAGAAAUUUUCACAGGAUUCUCAAAUCCUCAAAAGGGGAAAACCAGACAAACGCCAUUAUAUUACACCACCACCAUCGUAAUCAAGAGCAGAACUUUUGAAACCCACCCUUGCCUGCCGGAGAACCGAAGCUUUUGUUUGUUU
rnacentral:misc_RNA from 1 species